GAGGGUACAGCUCAAGUGGUAGAGCGCAUGCUUAGCAUACAAAAGGUCCUGGGUUCGAUCCCCAGUACCUCCU
rfam:Camelus ferus unplaced genomic scaffold scaffold212, whole genome shotgun sequence.